rnacentral:rRNA from 1 species
UACGGGGGGUGCGAGCGUUGUCCGGAAUCACUGGGCGUAAAGGGCGCGUAGGUGGUUUGAUAAGGGUGUGGUGAAAGUCCGGAGCUCAACUCCGGAUCUGCCGUGCCGACUGUCAAACUCGAGGGCUGUAGAGGCAGACGGAAUUCCGGGUGUAGCGGUGGAAUGCGUAGAGACCCGGAGGAAGACCGGUGGCGAAGGCGGUCUGCUGGGCAGUUUCUGACACUGAGGCGCGACAGCGUGGGGAGCAAACAGG